GAUAACCUGCNNCAUACAGGGGGAUAACAGUUGGAAACGGCUGUUAAUACCGCAUAAGCGCACGAAACCGCAUGGUUUUGUGUGAAAAACUCCGGUGGUAUGAGAUGGGUCCGCGUCUGAUUAGCUAGUUGGCAGGGUAACGGCCUACCAAGGCGACGAUCAGUAGCCGGCCUGAGAGGGUGUACGGCCACAUUGGGAUUGAGACACGGCCCAAACUCCUACGGGAGGCAGCAGUGGGGAAUAUUGCACAAUGGGGGAAACCCUGAUGCAGCGACGCCGCGUGGGUGAAGAAGUAUUUCGGUAUGUAAAGCCCUAUNNUNNNGGAAGAAAAUGACGGUACCUGACUAAGAAGCCCCGGCUAACUACGUGCCAGCAGCCGCGGUAAUACGUAGGGGGCAAGCGUUAUCCGGAUUUACUGGGUGUAAAGGGAGCGUAGGUGGCGUGCCAAGUCAGGAGUGAAAACCCAGGGCCCAACCCUGGGACUGCUCUUGAAACUGGCAGGCUUGAGUGCUGGAGAGGUAAGCGGAAUUCCUAGUGUAGCGGUGAAAUGCGUAGAUAUUAGGAGGAACACCNGUGGUGAAGGCGGCUACUGACAGUGACUGACNACUGAGCUCGAACUCNGGGAGCAAACNGGAUUAGAUACCCUGNAGUCCNCGCNUAAACCAUGAAUGCUAGGGU
rnacentral:rRNA from 1 species